rnacentral:rRNA from 1 species
GGGUUGUGAGGUUAAGCGACUAAGCGUACACGGUGGAUGCCCUGGCAGUCAGAGGCGAUGAAGGACGUGCUAAUCUGCGAAAAGCGUCGGUAAGGUGAUAUGAACCGUUAUAGCCGGCGAUGUCCGAAUGGGGAAACCCAGUGUGAUUCGUCACACUAUCGUUAACUGAAUACAUAGGUUAACGAGGCGAACCGGGGGAACUGAAACAUCUAAGUACCCCGAGGAAAAGAAAUCAACCGAGAUUCCCCCAGUAGCGGCGAGCGAACGGGGAGCAGCCCAGAGUCUGAAUCAGCUUGU